CGCAUCUGUGCAUGCAGCAUAUCAAUAAGCGGAGGAAAAGAAACUAACAAGGAUUCCCUUAGUAACGGCGAGUGAAGCGGGAAGAGCUCAAAUUUGAAAUCUUCAAGGGUUCUACCUUUACGAACUGUAGUUUAAAGAAGUGUUUUCUGUUAGAUGAGUUAGGUAAAAGUUCCUUGGAAUAGGACAUCAUAGAGGGUGAGAAUCCCGUAUUUGACCUUUACUUUCAACUUUGUGAUACACUUUCAAAGAGUCGGAUUGUUUGGGAAUGCAGUCCAAAAUGGGUGGUAAAUUUCAUCUAAAGCUAAAUAUUGGCGAGAGACCGAUAGCGAACAAGUACCGUGAGGGAAAGAUGAAAAGAACUUUGAAAAGAGAGUUAAACAGUACGUGAAAUUGUCAAAAGGGAAGCGUUUGACACCAGUGUUGUUUUUCUGAAAAUCAAUUAAAGAACUGUUUAUGCUAAGCUGUUUAGACUUUAUCAGCUAACUGUUUAGUUUUGAGCUUUUCUUUAAUGCACUUUUCAGUUAACAAGUCAACAUCAAUUUCUUUUGCUGUAAAAAAGCUUGAGGAAGGUGGCUUGAGAUUCGUCUUAAGUGUUUAUAGCCUCUUGCCUAUGCAGUCGGAGAGAUUGAGGUCUGCAGCGUAGAUCCUUCGGGGCUAAAUGCAUUUGUGCUAAGUUAUAACAUUUUAUAGACAACUUGUUGACUAUGAUUUGUCUUGUAGCUUACUCGCUUAUGUUAUUUUACCUACGCUUAGGAUGUUGAGCGCAUGUCUCUCUCU
rnacentral:rRNA from 1 species